rnacentral:lncRNA from 1 species
GACCAGGCAGGUGGAGCUAGCCCACGGUCCAGAGCCUCCUGUCCCCACCCAGAAGGCAGUGCAUAGGUCUGCCCCCCAGGCAAAACCCUUGGGAGGUAAAGCCAAAGAGAGGCUGCCAGCACAGGUGGACACGGGCAGGCCACAGAGACACCUCGGAUCAGAGGAAACUGGUCCAGGACAUGUACGAUCACACCAGACUGGACAGUCAGAUGUGCUGUGUGUGGCAGAUCCACAAGCAUGGGCUUCUCAGGACCCAGUAGUGAAUGAAAAGACACCAGUGGAGGAGAAUCCCUGUCAGCACAGGAACAGGGCUCAGAAGGAUCCCUCAAGACCACUGAAGAGUCUGGGAAAGAGCCCAACUCAAGGAGGAGGAGGAGACAGCCUCCAGGCC